AAGUAGGACUAAUUAAUAAGUGAGGUCGUAUUUUAGUCCCGUUCGCGAAUAAAGAAUAAAACUUGGGCUCGAGCAACCCAUUUUUAGGCCUAAAUUUUGGGCCUAGCCCAUAAUUCCCAAGCCCAUAAUCCCUAGGCUCAUACCCUUAACCUAACUCCUACCCCUAUAUAAUAGUAUCUAACACCUAAAAUAAAAGAAAAAAAAUUAGAUCCGCCGCAGCUCAAACGGCCCCCUUCCUCUCGCUGAUUUUCCAAUCUGGAACCAGCAGCCUUCACCUCCUUCUUCAACAGCCGAAUCUUAAAACCUCCUUAACCCUUUAACCUUCAUAAACAUCAGCUAAAUACUAGCCUAAAAUCUAGCCAAAAAGUAGUCAAAAUUCAGCGUACAUCCAUAAAACCUGCCGCAAAAAACAUCAGCUCACAUGUAAAGCAUUCGAGGUUCCGGUGCCGAUGCACUUUCAUUCGAUUUCUGGUGGGAUUUUCUCUGUUGGAGUCCAUUCGGCUUUGAUCUCAGCUGUUGUAAUUUCACUGAAAUGCUUGCUAAUAAAAUUUGCUUGAAGAAGUUCGGCUUCUGAAAAGAUUCAUACAAAAAAGAGGAACAAACUAACCUUGAAGCGUCUCAAUGAUCUAGUCUUUAUUAAGUACAAUUGAACAUUGAGGCGUUGUUACAACGCUCACAAUGUAAUUGAUCCAAUUAGUUUGAAAAACAUUUAUGAUGCUAAUGAAUGGCUAACUGGAGUUCCGGAAGAUCAUGCAGAUGAAGAAGUAUUUGAGGAUACUUCUGAUUUCACUUGGGGUGAUGUUGCGGAGGCGCGUGAAAUUGGGGAGAGGUUUAUGGUUUGAGGGGGAGUACCUCAACUUCAAGUUCACAAAGGAAGGAAAAACAGGCAGCUACUUUGUCCCUAGUUGAUGAAGAAGAUGAUGAGCAACAUAAUAAUAAUAAUAGUGGAAUACAAGAAUUUGACAAUCUUGUAGAAGAAUAGGAUACUCAUUUGUGCUUUAAGUGAUGCUACUCUUUAGUUUUUUAAUUGAAGUAUUGAACAUUUGCUUACAAUUACAUGUAUUGUCUAUGUAGUAGUUAUUUUAAUUUUUUUAAAAUUCCAUUUCACUUAAAAAAAGCGAGCGUUUUGCUUCUCGCUUCUCGUGAAAUGGGGUUGUCGCUUUUUCUCGCUUCACGCCCUUCACAACACUGCAAAAAACAUAUUGUCAGAUA